rnacentral:rRNA from 1 species
UACGUAGGGUGCAAGCGUUGUCCGGAAUUAUUGGGCGUAAAGAGCUCGUAGGCGGUUUGUCGCGUCGGUUGUGAAAGCCCGGGGCUCAACUCCGGGUCUGCAUUCGAUACGGGCAAACUAGAGUUCGGUAGGGGAGACUGGAAUUCCUGGUGUAGCGGUGAAAUGCGCAGAUAUCAGGAGGAACACCGGUGGCGAAGGCGGGUCUCUGGGCCGAUACUGACGCUGAGGAGCGAAAGCGUGGGGAGCAAACAGG